rnacentral:rRNA from 1 species
CGGAACACGUACGCAAUCUACCCAAAACUGAUGAAUAGCCCUCCGAAAGGAGGAUUAAUACAUCGUAACUUAAUGAAGUGGCAUCACCUUAUUAAUAUAGCUCCGGCGGUUUUGGAUGAGCGUGCGCCUGAUUAGGUAGUUGGCGGGGUAACGGCCCACCAAGCCUGCGAUCAGUAACUGGUGUGAGAGCACGACCAGUCACACGGGCACUGAGACACGGGCCCG